UUUGAACGCACCUUGCGCUCCUCGGUAUUCCGGGGAGCAUGCCUGUUUGAGUGUCAUCGAAACCUCGAAACCGAAGCCUUCGACCCGUCGGAGCUCGGUCUCGGACCAUGGGAGUCUGCGGGCGGCAACGUCGGCUCUCCUCAAAAGCAUUAGCUGUGGGUACGAGCCUUGCGUGGCACGGCCUCUUCCGACGUCGUAAUGAUCGUCGUGGGCUGGAAGCGCGAGGACCGGCAUGACCCGUGCUUCUUAACUCUGUGCGAGUCGCACGUAUCAAGGCUUGACCUCAAAUCAGGUAGGACUACCCGCUGAACUUAAGCAUAUCAAUAAGCGGAGGAAAAGAAACUAACAAGGAUUCCCCUAGUAACUGCGAGUGAAGCGGGAAGAGCUCAAAUUUCGAAUC
rnacentral:rRNA from 1 species